CGCCGUUGUACUACUAAGGCUCUGCCUUGCGGUGGCUGCUUCCCUGCCUUUGUUUGAGGGCGGGGGACGGCCCAAACCCAUGGGCGUUCUCGCAAGACGAUCCAGCGUAGCAAGUCUCUCGCUGGGUUGGCUCUUGACGGGGGCGCCAGUAUCAACGAACGUUUGGCCUCGGAUCAGGUAGGGAUACCCGCUGAACUUAA
rnacentral:misc_RNA from 1 species